GAGAGCCCCGUCUGGUCGGACACCAAGCCUCUGUAAAGCUCCUUCGACGAGUCGAGUAGUUUGGGAAUGCUGCUCUAAAUGGGAGGUAUAUGUCUUCUAAAGCUAAAUACCGGCCAGAGACCGAUAGCGCACAAGUAGAGUGAUCGAAAGAUGAAAAGCACUUUGAAAAGAGAGUUAAAAAGUACGUGAAAUUGUUGAAAGGGAAGCGCUUAUGACCAGACUUGGGCCUGUUUGAUCAACUUGGGUUCUCCCGGGUGCACUCUUUCAGGUUCAGGCCAGCAUCAGUUUGCCGCGGGGGAUAAAGGCUUCGGGAAUGUGGCUCCCCCCGGGGAGUGUUAUAGCCCGUUGCGUAAUACCCUGCGGCGGACUGAGGUUCGCGCAUCUGCAUGGAUGCUGGCGUAAUGGUCAUCAGCGACCCGUCUUGAAACACGGACCAAGGAGUCGUCUUCGUAUGCGAGUGUUCGGGUGUUAAACCCCUACGCGUAAUGAAAGUGAACGCAGGUGAGAGCUUCGGCGCAUCAUCGACCGAUCCUGAUGUUCUCGGAUGGAUUUGAGUAAGAGCAUACGGGGCCGGACCCGAAAGAAGGUGAACUAUGCCUGUAUAGGGUGAAGCCAGAGGAAACUCUGGUGGAGGCUCGCAGCGGUUCUGACGUGCAAAUCGAUCGUCAAAUAUGGGCAUGGGGGCGAAAGACUAAUCGAACCUUCUAGUAGCUGGUUUCCGCCGAAGUUUCCCUCAGGAUAGCAGUGUUGAGCUCAGUUUUAUGAGGUAAAGCGAAUGAUUAGGGACUCGGGGGCGCUAUUUAGCCUUCAUCCAUUCUCAAACUUUAAAUAUGUAAGAAGCCCUUGUUGCUUAAUUGAACGUGGGCAUUCGAAUGUAUCAACACUAGUGGGCCAUUUUUGGUAAGCAGAACUGGCGAUGCGGGAUGAACCGAACGCGAGGUUAAGGUGCCAGAGUAGACGCUCAUCAGACACCACAAAAGGUGUUAGUACAUCUUGACAGCAGGACGGUGGCCAUGGAAGUCGGAAUCCGCUAAGGACUGUGUAACAACUCACCUGCCGAAUGUACUAGCCCUGAAAAUGGAUGGCGCUCAAGCGUCUCACCCAUACCUCGCCCUCGGGGUAGAAACGAUGCCCCGAGGAGUAGGCGGACGUAGAGGUCAGUGACGAACUUCUCAU
rnacentral:rRNA from 1 species